CCAAAGCAUCUCUGGAUGUCUCAAAUACUGUUCAGUUUGUGAAGAGUACAACCUAUCAUGAUGAAGAAGCUCAAGGAGUGAAAACUGUUUCAGAAAAACAGCAACCCAGAAAGGUGAGUCAACGUCCUGCACAGAAUACAGCUGUUCAGUACAGGAAAGUUACACCCAGGAAGAAGUGGACCAGGUCCAACAGAGGUCGAAGAUCGUU
rnacentral:lncRNA from 1 species